UUUUGCAGGUUUUUUUGUUGUUGUUCUGAGUGGGGGGAGAGAAAAUGGUCACAGGCAGUUCUGGCUGGACGGACAGGUACUGCUGCAUUUUAGGAAUUAUUUUACAAAGUGGGCAGGCUAAGGGAGGAUCAAUUUCCUGGCCUUUGCUCUGAACCAGGGCACAAUUUCACAGAAAUUAUUUCUUUCCCGCUUUCCCCAUUUCUCUGUUAGUUACAGGGAAGAUUCAUUCUGUAUGCAGAAUAAAUUUAUUUAUUUGAAUAGAUUUAUUUAUUAAAUAGAUUUAUUCUGUGUGCAGAACCAACUGCUUUUCCAUGAAGAGAAAUCCUCUCUGCAAAGCAAGGAAGCUGCCUGCUCACCUUGCUGCUGGCUUGUCCCCAAGCCAAGGGAAAAGAAAACAUUGGCAAAGGACAAGGCCACUGCCCCAGAAGGGGGUUCUGGUUUCCUGAGCACCUGGUGGCAGAGAAGGAGCGCAGGUGUGGGACAAGGUGCAUUUAAGGAGGCUGCAGAUGUCCUUGAGGAGCAGGGACAAACAUCUGCUUCUCCUCCACGGGGUUGUUUCUUGUGAGAGAGGAGUCAGGGACUGCCUCACAUCUGCAGCACGUGAAGGGCUUUUGUCAAUCAUGUCCAAAAACCUCGUAUAUUAACUCAUCCCAAGCCUGGUCAUUGUUUUUGCCCAGUAAAUACAAUUUCUCUGAGCGGGGGAAAAAGGCACUUCUGAGAUUCUGGGGCACGAGCUGCCCUUCAGCAGCCUGCUGGCACUGGGGACCCCAUGACCAGGCUGGAGCAGCUGCCAGGGCUGUGUGUGAGCUCUGAGGGCAGUCACAGGAGGAGCUGCUGCUGGAACCACCACAGCUGAGCAAGCAGAAUUAAUCUGCCCACAAAGCUGCUGCUGACAGCAGCUCCACCUCAGCAAACCCCGAGCUGGAAUCAGCUGCAAGGUGCUAGGCCAGGGUCUCAUCUCACACAGACCAAACCCAUUCCAGCUUUGUUUGGAGAUAUUUCCUGGGAGUGACAGGGCCAGGGCUCUGUGCAGAGGGAGCAGAGAUGUUGCCUGGGCAACGCUGUGACAGGAGAUGCUGGUGCUGGGCGUCCUUGGCACAGCAGAUCUGCUCCUCCCUGCCUGUGCAGCACAGCAGAGCCCAGCACAGGGGAUGAGCCCCCACAGGGCCUUCAAGGGACAAGCCUGUGGCACCUGAUGUGUUUGCAGCGUGAUGUUUGCUCCUCCAGCUGCUCUCUCCACUUCAGUGUUGGUGCCUGGAAAAUAGAAUUCACCUUUCCAGUUGGGCUACGGGGCUGAUGAUCGGGUGCCUGAUCUACCCUGAUGGUUGGGAAUCAGUCUUGGAAUAAGACUAAACAAUAUUUAGGAAUUAUAAGCUACGGGGCUGAUGAUCGGGUGCCUGAUCUACCCCGACGGCUGGGACUCGAGCGAGGUGCGCAGAAUGUGCGGGGACAAAACUGACAAAUACACGCUGGGCGCGUGCACCGUGCGCUGGGCCUACAUCCUGUGCAUCAUCGGCAUCCUGGACGCCCUCAUCCUCUCCUUCCUGGCCUUCGUGCUGGGCAACCGGCAGGACAACCUCCUCCCCUCGGAUUUCAAGGUGGAGAGUAAAGAAGAGGGAAAUGACUGACAGAGCCGAUCACCACGGACAUCCAGAGCUCUUCUUCCAUCAGCCCUUUUCUUUGAAGUGACUCUUCUAGGAAGCCUAAAUUUACCAAAUUCUGUGGAUUUUCUACAGCUGUUUUCUUCACCCAUGGGGCUGCUCUUGGCUCACAGCUCUUGUGGAGCUUCUUUGGUGGGAAGAGCCCAAAAUGGACACAAAGUUUUUCUGAGUCCAUCAGCAAGAGGGAGAAGAGGGCAAGGAUGGCAAUUUGCUGCUUUUGGGGGGGUUUGUACAUGUUCUUUCAAGGAAAUUAUUUAUGAAUAAAAAAAAAAUCAACACCACCAGAACAUCAGUGUUUUGGGUUUUGUGCUGGUCUCCUGAGGGCAGAGGAAACCCUCUGCCAUAUUCCAGGUCUCCCUUUUACUGGAAAAAUACCAUGACAGGCCAAUUCCCAUGAAUCAGUUUCCUGCCCUGGGCAACAAUCACCAAACCUCUGGAAAAGGGCACUUUCCUGGGGAAAAAAAAAAAAGAAAACCAGACAGCAAAGCCAGAGCUGGGCUGGGCCAGCACCUGCAGAGCACAGCAGAUGGUGCCAGUCAGCAGCAGCUCCCUGCACCACCCAAUUAACCUGAUUAAGCCAUCAUUUCCCAUCCGUGCAGCACCCAGCCAUGGCAGCCCUUGGCACAGCUCAUUUCUGCAGAAGACAAAGCAGCAAUUACCUGCUCAGAGCCACAAACCAGCCUGCAUUAUCAUUUUCAUCUCUACUCGCUGUGAAUUGCUGGUUCCUGCAGGACUCCAGUUCAGUUCAGUUCUAACAAAUCCCUUCCCGUGUUAUGCUUCCCUCUAAAAAAUGUCUGGGAAGGUUUUACUGAGACUUUUGGCUAGAUAAAACAGCAGAUAUGACAGAUUGAAGAAAAAUGUAUUUUAGAAUGGAAAGAUUCCAGCAGAGUUGUCCUAUUUUUUACUCUUCUCCCCUUUUUAAACUGGAUCACAACACCAGCAACAAAAUCUUUACCUGUCUCAUUCUGGAAAUCAAAGCUGAGUGUUCACUAGUGAAGCAAAUUCCACCCCUGAGCCCCUGACUCAGAACAGAAUCACAAGGGGAAUGUAUGAAGACUAGGGCUCAGUUAUUAAAUAAUCUGUUUAUUGCAGGGCUUUCACAAAGGAAAAAAAAAAAAGACAAGGCACCCAAGUAGAAAGAAUAAAAAUGUAUUUUCCUUCAGGUUUUUAGACUGACACAGCAAGUACAAAUCCUUUAGUGUGAGCAUGUCACAGCAGUUUGGAAAUGAACAGACCCCAGGGAAGGAGCAGAGGUACAGAACUGUGACAGUGCUCCUGCAGGGCUGCAGCUCACAGGCUGCCUCUAGCCCUGGCUGCCAGGGUGGAAAAA